UACAGAGGGGGCAAGCGUUGUUCGGAAUUACUGGGCGUAAAGGGCGCGUAGGUGGCCUUCUAAGUUGAACGUGAAAUCCCUGGGCUCAACCCAGGAACUGCGUCCAAGACUGGGAGGCUUGAAUCCGGGAGAGGGAUGCGGAAUUCCAGGUGUAGCGGUGAAAUGCGUAGAUAUCUGGAGGAACACCGGUGGCGAAGGCGGCAUCCUGGACCGGUAUUGACGCUGAGUGAGCGAAAGCCAGGGGAGCAAACGGG
rnacentral:rRNA from 1 species